UAUAUAUAUAUAUAUAUAUAUAUAUAUCGAUUGAUUCUAGUCGGGUUAGGACAAGCCCGCGCCUUCGAUAUAUCUAGGAUAUUAUAUUAGGUGGACCGGAAAGUAAUGUCGUUUCUGCGCAUGUCGAUAUUUGAUUGUGAUUAAAAAUAAAAACUUGUUAAAAAUGUAUUCGUUUGAAUUUAAUUUAAAAAAGUGACAUUACUUUCCAAUCAACCUAAUAAUAUAUAAUCGAAUGACGAUACGACUACUAUGUAAAUUCACCCAGGUAUAAAAGCAAAAACUUACUUAUAGAGAAGUUUCGAAGAUUCCAUUGCUUCACGCGAAAUCGUAUAUUCUUGAAGACCAAGUCAAUUUCUGGUCUCCUUGGGAAGGAAUGCUUUUCAUUUAGGAUAUAAGUCGAAGGAGGAAGAGUGUCGGUAACAAUCGCGACGUCUUGUACAUUGUUCUGACUUGUAUUGUCAAUUUGACAGCAACUCAAGGAGGAUCGUGACGGCGAACAAUUUGUGGAAGCGCAGCUCGUCAUUGUGAGUUUUCGAUGAUAUAUUAUUUUCUUCUUUUCGUACUGUUAUUUCUGUCUCGUCUCUCGGCAAAUCCACUUUUUUCGAUCUCAAAACGGUUGUAUCAUUUUUCCUCCUUAAAAAAGAAAAGAAAAAUCAAAUGAUUAUAAAUUUUAUAAAUGGGGUACGCUGAUAUAAAUGCAUGUACCUUUGCAAUAUCUAUCUGUGCAUAUAAUCUAUAUAUACAUAUAUUUAAAACACUUGUUUAUUUUUAAAUGUAAUAUACUCGAGGAAAGUUUUUGUCGUUCUUUGACAGAAAUAUAUUGCUUUUAUCAACGUUGAAAUAACAAUGAUAGAAACAAUAUCAAUGUUCCGACUCUCGUAUCAUUCAUACCACGAUAAAAUAAAACGAGAAACUGAUUACUUUGAUCUUGGACUACUCUGAAGAGAAAACAGAGAGAGAGAGGGAGAGAGAGAGAGAGAGAGGGAGAGAGAGAGAGAGAGGGAGAGAGAGAGAGAAAGAGAGAAAGAAGGGAGAGAUAUGUACGUACAUAUAAACGAGCGACGUUGUUAGAUAAAAAAAAUCAUGCGAUAGUGUAACUAUUCUUAUUGAUUAUACAUUUAAAUCCGAUGCAUUGUGAUUUCACAAUUUGAAAUUUUCAAGUCAUGUCUUUUUAUUAAAUACUUUUAUUAAAGACUUUUAUACCAUUUAUUUCGAGUAUCGACCUAACUAAUGUACCUUGAAUUGAUCCAAUAUUUCUUGAAAAAUGAUGAUUAAAAAGAUUCUCAAAGAGUGGCAAUACAAUGAAUGCCUAAAUUAUAUUUUCUUAAAUAUCGAAAGAGAAGAAAAAUAGUCAUUAACCAUGAAAAAGUUACAAAAGAAUGUUAUAUAAAAAGGAUUCCGAUAAUGAUUACGGUCAAAAAAUCAAUGAACUAUAAAGAAGAAUGAGGAGUAAAUAGGGAAUAGGGAAACGUAAAAUCUGUAAAUAAUAAUUGAGAAGGAAAAUCCUUGAGUCAGCUUUCAUCGUGUCUGUAUAUUCGAUCUAUGUAUAUAAUACUAGGCGGAUACGUACUUAUCUAAGUACUUGCCUUCUAGAAAGUGGAUUUGAAAGAGUACGAUUAUCUUCGUGUACGAGUUGACAGUAAAUACAACUAAGUUUCUCUCAAAAACUACUAUAGCGCGAUAACUUUCACGGUCAGAAAGAUAUUUCUGUUGAAUUUAUUUAUUUUUUUUUCCUUUUCUUUUUUUUCUAUUUACUCAGAAAUCCAAAUAAUGAUGGAAUCAGUUUCGUUAGCACAACAUCAUAGAAACGAUACGAUAUCUGAAUGAAACGUUAUUAAUUAAUCAGUCGGAAAAGAGAAUCGAUUCAAACACGGACAUAUAUUAAUAUUCAUUGAGAGAACUUAAAAUAUCACGUGGUGAUUAUCAUGUACUAUAUCGACCGUCACGGUGGAAGAGAAAUGGCCGUAUACGUAUGCACAUAUAGAAACGUCAUUCCAUAGAGAAAGAGAGAAGCAAGGGCAAUGCUUGACCGUAAAACGGUUAAACGUUCUACUUUCUCAACGUCAACGUUUUAGAAACGAAACACGAUGAUAAUUAUCCUAAUAUAACUAUCUUAAUCGUAAAAUGUAUCGGUCGAAAGAGGUUAUGAUGCGUAAAAUACUUGUUAAGGUACCGACUAUGUUGAUCGACCGAUCGACUAGUCGAACGCAGCAUUGUGAAAAUAAAAAAAAAAAAAAAGAAAAA